CAGAUGAUGAGUCCCAAAUAGGACGAAACGCUCGUCCUG
rnacentral:hammerhead_ribozyme from 1 species